GAACCGCUAGCUGAGCCAGUGUUGCAGUGAGCGCAGCGGGGAAUUCGGUGGCAAGUGCAACUACGAUAACAAGCGUUGCAAACUUGUACAUGGAGGCUAAAGCAUCCCCACAAUGACAGAGGCCAACAUGGAAGAUUAUUUGCUGCGGGCCAAGACAAUGCUGGUUAGUUUUAGCCUAGACAGCCCGGGGACAAUAAGGGUUUUACUGGUUGGGAUGAUGACAACGUGCUACAUUCUGUAUUCCUGUUGCUGAAAACGUAGUCUCUUGUUUCUUUGCCCCCCAAGCACAAGUAGUAGGCGACGGCGGACGUCCGGAAUGAUGAAGAAAACCAAUGGUCCAAACCAUAAGCUUCUCCUGCCACACAUUUUUCAAAAUUAAUUUGAACGAGUCACGCACAAGUUUCGCACGCACCUGUGCUGCAGGACACCUACACCACCCGAUGUGACAGGAAGGCCAAAAAGAUCAUCAAAGACAACAACCACCCGAGCCACUGCCUGUUCACCCCGCUAUCAUCCAGAAGGCGAGGACAGUACAAGUGCAUCAAAGUGGGGACCGAGAGACUGAAAAACAGCUUCUAUCUCAAGGCCAUCAGACUGUUAAACAGCCAUCACUAACAUUGAGGUGCUGCUGCCAACAUACUGACUCAUCACUAGCCACUUUUAACAAUGCCACUUUAUAUAAUGUUUACAUACCCUACAUUACUCAUCUCAUGUAUAUACUGUACUCUAUACCAUCUACUGCGUCUUGCCUAUGCCGUUCGGCCAUCACUCAUUCAUAUAUUUUUAUGUACAUAUUCUUAUUAAUUCCUUUACACUUGUGAAUAAGGUAGUUGUUGUGAAAUUGUUAGGUUAGAUUACUUGUUAGAUAUUACUGCAUGGUCGGAACUAGAAGCACAAGCAUUUCACUACACUCACAUUAACUGCUAACGAUGUGUAUGUCACAAAUAACAUUUGAUUUGAUUUUGAUUUUUAUCUCUUAGAGAUCAAAUUAUAUUUCAACAAAAUAUUUCAUAAUGCUUAUGUUUCUAACUACAGAUAUGAUUUAAGAACAAUCUAAGAUGGUGGGUGUCAUGGCUUGCUGAAAUGACAUGGAAUGACCCUGUCCUUUAUCCCAUGGCAGAAACCAGCCCAGUGCAUGCACACUUUGUGGAGAUUGGAGACAGACACCACUUACAUACAGUAGAUACAGUAUAUUGCCAUAGUAGACCUAAAAACAUUCUGACUUGGAAAGUCUUUGACUUGAUUGAGGGAAAGAGACAGUGUGGGACUGACACAGACUAUGUUUUUUCUUAAAUACAUGGAAAAUAAAUGUGUGUGUGAGUGUGUC